UACGAAGGGGGCUAGCGUUGUUCGGAUUUACUGGGCGUAAAGCGCACGUAGGCGGAUUGGUCAGUUAGGGGUGAAAUCCCGGAGCUCAACUCCGGAACUGCCUUUAAUACUGCCAGUCUCGAGUCCGGAAGAGGUAAGUGGAACUCCUAGUGUAGAGGUGGAAUUCGUAGAUAUUAGGAAGAACACCAGUGGCGAAGGCGGUUGCCUGGAGCUUUGCUGACGCUGAGGCGCGAAAGCGUGGGGAGCGAUCCGG
rnacentral:rRNA from 1 species